rnacentral:rRNA from 2 species
AGGGGUAGAAUGUCUUCGGAUGUUUGAGACCGGCGCACGGGUGCGUAACGCGUAUGCAACCUACCUCUUACUGGGGAAUAGCCCGAAGAAAUUCGGAUUAAUGCCCCAUAUGCUCGUACGGCCUCAUGGUCGAGCGAGGAAAGCUCCGGCGGUAAGAGAUGGGCAUGCGUCCUAUUAGCUUGUUGGUGAGGUAAUGGCUCACCAAGGCUACGAUAGGUAGGGGGCCUGAGAGGGUGACCCCCCACACUGGUACUGAGACACGGACCAGACUCC